UCUGCGUUUGUUUCUUCAUUUUUUUUUCUGCAGAAGAUGAAAAGGAACUCUUUGUAAUUUAUAUAUCAACGCUUGAAGAUUGACGUGUGUGAUAUUACGCAGAUUGUUGCUGUGGCAAAUUUGACGCCAGCUAAUGAUUCGGUGGACGAGCUUGAUAGUUACAUGUAUCAAACUGCUCUAUGACUUCUUUAUGGGAAAUUGUUGGCACAUGUCAUCAUAUCAAGCUAUCAUCAGCCCCUUCAAGUACUCAUGUAAUCAAUCGGAAGAUAAUUUUAAUCUAGCUAGCAUUUUCUAUAUUUGAAAACCAGUUUAAUUAUAUUAUGAUUUUGUAAUAUGAAGUUACUUAAUUGAUAUAAUUUACUA